UACGUAGGUGGCAAGCGUUAUCCGGAUUUACUGGGCGUAAAGGGAGCGUAGGCGGAUAUUUAAGUGGGAUGUGAAAUACCCGAGCUUAACUUGGGAGCUGCAUUCCAAACUGGAUAUCUAGAGUGCAGGAGAGGAGAAUGGAAUUCCUAGUGUAGCGGUGAAAUGCGUAGAGAUUAGGAAGAACACCAGUGGCGAAGGCGAUUCUCUGGACUGUAACUGACGCUGAGGCUCGAAAGCGUGGGGAGCAAACAGG
rnacentral:rRNA from 2 species